rnacentral:sRNA from 1 species
GCAGGGCGUGGUAGCCCAUGCCUGUAAUCCCACCCACCCAGGAGGCUGAGGCAGGAGGAUUGCAAGUUUGAGGCCAACCCAGGCAAUUUAGUAAGACCCUGUCUCAA